GGAGUUUGGGAAAGGUGCCUCCUCUGCUCAGAUUGUCUCAGGAAUCUGACCGUGAGAAGGGCAAGCUGCACCCGGGUGGCUAUGGCAUGCUUGUCCAUGCCCCUCCACACCCUGUGAUGCUGGGCUGGGGCUCUGACAUCUGACCCCUGCUCUCCCCCCAGGGCCCAGUGCUUCCAGGUAGUUAAAAGCAUCUGUUAGAUCUGAUAUCUCCAGUGGCCUUGUCCGACAUCAAUCACCUGUUCACACCAGGGAGGAAGCUGAGGACCCCGCUCCACCCCAGGGCUCCUGGGGCUGGCAGUGACCUCCCAGGUGAGGGGCCAGCCCCAAGAGGAGGAGACAGACAAGGAAAUUGGGCCGUGGAAGGAAGAACCAGCAACUCCUUAGAGUCACAGUCCAGGAAGUGACUGGAGGGGGCAGCGGGCACCAGGCAGGAUCCCAGGCAGAGCUGGGGUCCUGGGACAGAGACCUUCCUCCAGUUCCUGGGGUCGGCAAGGUGGUCUGAUGGAGAUGGAGGAGGGCCCUGCAGCGCCGGCCGUGGCGUCCUCCUCAAACUGGGAAGACUCGGCCUCUCCAAGGACAUGCCUGUGGUUUCCCUCAGACCUCAGUCUCAAGCUCAGGAAAGACCCAGCCUGGUGGUCUUGUUAUUUCACAGAGAAGAGAAUCAAGUUCUCAGCUGACCCAGGACUCCAAGAAACAGAAGUCCAGACCCCUGGGCUCUGCCCACAGAGAACCAAGAAGGGACCUGCAGAUUCAGGUAGUGUGGUGGCUGCAGAGGGCGUCCCUCACCUGCUCAGGGUUCUCAGCUCUGCAGUCACCGUUCUCCUGGGGAAAGUUCUUCUCUUUCUGUGUGAAGACAACCAUCCUCAAUUCACAAAGAA